UAACCAGGUAUCGCUGUGCCAGAGGGUCCACAUCUCUGGAAUCUUUUCAUUGCCACCUGAAAAGGUCAUUCCAGGCAUCAGUGCAAAUGCACUGAAUUUUCAGCUGUAGCUCCUGGAAGGCCUGAACAGGUGGAACCAGGACCGGGAGACUGCGGCGGUGACCAGCAGGCCAUCAUCUCUGCUCACCUACUCCAGGGAUGUGACCCAGUGCGUCAACACCAGCAGCUUGAAGGUGUUUGGCCGGGCAUUUGUGCCAAACUUCAGGCCACCCUCCAAAUACACCGGAGAGCUGCUUGGUGUUGACUAUCUGUUAAGUCAGACUGGGCAGCCCUUACAGGUCAGCCCUGACUCAGAGGAGACGGAGGACAUGCUGGAGGAUGUGAACGGGGGCGAGGAAGAGGAUGAGGACUUCGAGGAAGACCAACCACCUGACCUCACGGUGUCAGGUCUCCUUGAUGAUCUUAGCGUCUGAACACAGCUUAUCUGCUCCUCCCUGACUGCCUCCACCCUGGCUGCUC